rnacentral:lncRNA from 1 species
CACCACUGUUGGCGUCGGCAAAGGAGGAGUAUCUGUUAACGCAGGCCACAAGGGAAAGCAUGUAUAUGUUGGUGUUGGUAAAGGGAAAAGUAAAUCACCCUUCGAUUACAAGUAUGCUGCUACUGAGGAUCAGCUCCAUGAUGAUCCAAAUGUAGCUCUUUUCUUCUUUGAGAAGAACAUGCAACCUGGGACAAAGAUGGAGUUGCACUUCAUUAGGGAUGCAAAUCUAGCCACCUUCUUGCCUCGUCAAGUUGCCAACUCCAUACCUUUUUCAUCCAAAAAAUUCCCAGAAAUUCUGAACGAGUUCUCGAUAAAACCAGAAUCAGAAGAAGCUGAGACAAUCAAGAACACAAUCAGAGAGUGUGAGGAGCCUGGGAUUAAAGGAGAGGAAAAGUAUUGUGCAACUUCACUAGAAUCCAUGGUUGAUUUCAGCACCUCAAAGCUUGGAAAAGGUGUUCAGGUGAUUUCAACAGAGGUGGAGAAGGAAACCCCGGAGCAGCAGUACACAAUUACAACUGGGGUGAAGAAGCUGGCAGGUGACAAAGCUGUGGUGUGUCACAAGCAGAGCUAUCCCUAUGCAGUGUUUUACUGCCACAAGACUCAGACCACAAGGGCUUAUAUGGUUCCCUUGGUGGGUGCUGAUGGGUCCAAAGUUAAAGCAGUAGCUGUGUGCCAUACAGACACAUCGGCAUGGAACCCCAAGCAUUUGGCUUUUCAAGUGCUCAAAGUUAAGCCAGGAACUGUUCCAAUCUGCCAUUUCCUUCCUGAGGAUCACGUUGUCUGGGUUCCAAAAUAGAAAUCUGCAGAAAGGACUUGAGAUUUGUUAGUUCCGCACAUCAUUCGGUGUAUCGUACUAGUUUGAAAUUCUGUAUGUUUGGUAUUUACGUCUGUAAUACUUCAAACCCCAUUGCCAUAUGAUUAUAUAUAAAUAUAUGAGUCAUAUUAUUCCCUAGUAGACAUUCUCUGCUUGU